rnacentral:rRNA from 1 species
GACGAACGCUGGCGGCGUGCUUAACACAUGCAAGUCGAACGGACAGGCCCUGCUUUUGUGGGGUGCACGUGUGGCGAACGGGUGAGUAACACGUGAGUAAACUGCCCUUGACUUUCGGAUAAAUUUAGGGAACUGGGGCUAAUACAGGAUAGGAGCUACUGCUGCACGGUGGGGGUUGGAAAGUUUCGGCGGUUGGGGAUGGACUAGCGGCUUAUCCGCUUGUUGGUGGGGUAGUGGCUUACAAAGGCUUUGACGGGUAGCCGACCUGAGAGGGUGACCGGCCACAUUGGGACUGAGAUACGGCGCAGACGCCUACGGUAGGCAGCAGUGGGGAAUAUUGCACAAUGGGCGGAAGCCUGAUGCAGCAACGCCGCGUGCGGGAUGACGGCCUUCGAGUUGUAAACCGCUUUCGCCUGUGACGAAGCGGGAGUGACGGUAAUGAGUAAAGAAGCACCGGCUAACUACGUG